AUUGAACGCUGGCGGCAGGCCUAACACAUGCAAGUCGAGCGGAGAGGCGGACGAGUGAGUAAUGACUAGGAAUCUGCCUGGUAGUAGGGGAUAACGUCCGGAAACGGGAGCUAAUACCGCAUACUAUCAGGUGAGACUCGGUCGGCUUAGCCAGUUGGUGGGGUAAAGGCAUACCACGGCGACGAUCCGUAACUGGGCUGAGAGGAUGAUCGGUCACAUUGUAACUGAGACACUGGACAGGCUCCUACGGUAGGCAGCAGUGGGGAAUAUUGGACAAUGGGCGAAAGCCUGAUCCAGCCAGGCCGCGUGUGUGAAGAAGGUUUUCGGAUUGUAAAGCACUUUAAGUUGGGAGGCGGUACCAACAGAAUAAGCACCGGCUAACUCCGUGCCAGCAGCCGCGGUAAUAC
rnacentral:rRNA from 1 species